rnacentral:tRNA from 2 species
GCCAGAGUGCUGGAACGGUAGACAGACCAGUCUCAAAAACUGGUGAGGGCAACCUCGUGAGGGUUCGAUUCCCUCCUCUGGUA